AUUGAACGCUGGCGGCAUGCCUUACACAUGCAAGUCGAACGGUAACGGGCCUUCGGGUGCCGACGAGUGGCGAACGGGUGAGUAAUACAUCGGAACGUGCCCGAUCGUGGGGGAUAACGAGGCGAAAGCUUUGCUAAUACCGCAUACGAUCUACGGAUGAAAGCAGGGGACCGCAAGGCCUUGCGCGGACGGAGUGGCCGAUGGCAGAUUAGGUAGUUGGUGGGAUAAAAGCUUACCAAGCCGACGAUCUGUAGCUGGUCUGAGAGGAUGAUCAGCCACACUGGGACUGAGACACGGCCCAGACUCCUACGGGAGGCAGCAGUGGGGAAUUUUGGACAAUGGGCGCAAGCCUGAUCCAGCCAUGCCGCGUGCAGGAUGAAGGCCCUCGGGUUGUAAACUGCUUUUGUACGGAACGAAAAGCCUUCUUUUAAUACAGGAGGGUCAUGACGGUACCGUAAGAAUAAGCACCGGCUAACUACGUG
rnacentral:rRNA from 1 species